UAUAAGUAAUGCAAGAAGAAUUACCAAGAAACAAGUACCAAUAAAUCAAAAGUGCAGGAUAUAAAAGAAUCCGAAUUCUCUCUGCGUACAUGUACACUAAUCAGAUAGCGCUCACAUCACACUCCUGCUUGUAAGUUAACAGUACUUUCCCUGGCAAGCAUUACAAUGCCAUGUAGCGCAUCUUAAACGAAUGAGAUAACAACAUAACCGGAACAAGAAGAAAAAACGGGGGGGGGGGGGUUGUAGAAAGGAGAAAGAACCUGAAAUAAAAACCCAAAUUAAUACAAACAAAUAGAUAGACAAUGUUCAUUAGGAGCAACGGUCCAGCUUAUGCUAUGCAAAACAAAAAAGCUUGAAGACAUUGUACUCACAAAAACGAGAGUAUAAAAGUAAGCUACUGAUGCGAUUGGAACAGCAAGAGCAGUAGUGCCUUCCUGAGUUGUAUGAAGUUGAUUCACACUAAUGCCUAUAAGUAGUAGUGUAAGAGCUUCCCACUGCAUCACAUAACUCAAAGAAUUAGAAGAUCAACCCUUUUGACGAUUCCUAUAAAUCAAUAUACCAUCACGUUCAAACUGAAUAAGAAGUCAAUAAUCUCAGAAUCGAGAGACAGCAUUGAGGAACCAGCCUGCAUGAUAGAGAAGCGGCGCUUCAUGAUUGCCUUCAGCAGAAGCGCGAUUACCAAAACCUGAGAAACAAAACACACCCUCAGAUACAGCUAUAGCACAAAUCAGAAACUCUCAUGUGUUGGAACGUAUAAUGUGAAACCCGGUGCAAUGUAUGCUUACUUAAAUGCAAUAAGAUUUCAGCCGUGAGAAGUAGAAUAAGUACAUCAGUUAGAUAAAGUUUGUGAACUGAAUCAAAUGCUCCAAUCACCUUACAGAUAGUAGCCACACAGAUAGUGCUCACCUUUAAAUUACUUAACAUCUUCACGGUUGCAGGGUUAAAGUAUAGCUACACAAUCCAAAGUGAACCGCGGCAUCAACGUCACAUUUCAGCUCUUAAUGAUUAACUGAAAAGCGGAAAAAGAUUGACCAGCUAGAGAUUCAUCUCAUAAGACAUGCCAACAGCUUUGCCAAGUUCUAGAUAUUUGAUGCAGGAAGAGAGAUG
rnacentral:lncRNA from 1 species